CUUCCCACUUACCUCUCUACCACUUUCUGUUUUAAGUGUUCAAUUUCACAGUGUCUUUAAAACAUUAGUAGAUGAUGCAGGCAAUGUAAGGGAGGUGGGAAAAAGAUAAGCUUUUAAAGUACAGAACCAAACCUGGUAUUUUGUGCCUGCAGGACCUCACCACUGCUCACUGCAUGAUGCAGAGUGCAGGUACAGAGAGUGCCCACCUCAGCAUGCCUUAAUCUGGAGAAAAAAUGACAAUUCAAAAGAAUACUAUUUUGCUUCACAGAAAAUUUGCCAAUUCCAGAUAUGGAACAAAGUCAUGGAGUGGUACAUGCACAGUGCAAUUUGACUUAGUUUCUGACGAGAAGUAAAAUAAGGAUAAAAGCUACGAGAAAGAAACAUCUGCCAUUUGCAAAACCAAGCAUCUCAGCGGAAAUGAGGGCGAAUCGCGCUCUCCUGGGUGAGCACAGCUCAGACCCUUUCACUGUGCUAUUUCCUGAAAUACUGCUUUCCACAGCACUCUGCACCCAGCCUACGAAAGUGGAAGUAAUCUGAGCUGCACAGUUGACUUAAGCUCUGAUAAAACACUCUGCUGUGUUACUGUCAGCAUGCCAGUAAAUGUCAUUGCUUUUUUCUGGAAUAUACCAUAUUAUAAAACUGUCUGGGGUAGAACUUGAAUCUCCUCACUGGGCUAAGCAGCAGAUGAAGUCCUCCCACCCCUCCUGCAUACCCAUGGCACAGCAGCACUCAGUCCCAACUCAUGUCCACAAGCUCCAAUGGAAAAAUGAGGAUCCAUCAGCCUGUGUGCAGCACUGUGCCUGAUAUGAGAGCUGGGGGGUCAGUGGCCACAGGAGUCUAAGGCCAGAGGAGGAGAAGAAUGUGUGUCCUUCUGCAGCCAGGCCACUUGGACCAAGGCAUCUGAGGAGAUCUCAAGAGUCACAGAGUCUUUUCUAUCUGAAUAAAGCCAUGAAGACAGCUCUCCCUGCUGAGCAACACUGCAGGAGGGAUUUCCUAUGCUGCCCAAGGGGCACCAUGCUGUAUUACUGCAAGGGACAUCACCUUUCGCAGCUGGCUCCUGAGCAGCUGCAUAAUGACAAAAAAGAGAGAGGAAAAUGGCACACAUCAAAGAAGAGGAAAAACAUCUUAGAACACAAAUGUAAACAAGAAGAAAAUGUCAGAUGCUGCCUUGAGAGUAUUUUUCUCCCACAGGUGUAUCGGAAGGCAGAAUCCCCAUUAGCUGUACCAAAGAAGAAAAGGGAGAUGUCUGAUUGACCUGACUGAUCUGCGUGUUAUGGCUGCAUAGCAAACAGACUCCAUCAGCACGUAAUUGCCUUCAUUGUGGAAGAGCCCUUGACUCAGCUGAGGCUGGUACUCACUGUGCCGGGUACAGACGUCUAUUAAGAGACAGUCCUUGUCCCGGUGAGUCAUCUAAGUGGAUGGAACACAUUCAAAAAGGCAAGGAACAAGCAGAUCCCUUGGCACCAGGGCUAGGCAGACCUGAUUUCCCAAGGAUAUUUUUUCUGAAGUGACUGUUUUUGUACACUAGAAGGUAAAAAUUUGGAGAUUUUAUCUGUGAUUGAGAUAUAUAAAAUAACUUUUUCUCUCAAAACCUCUGCUGUCUAAUAGUGCAUGAGGUUCCACUUAGGCUCCUUUCCUGCUACCCUCCUCCAGGGAAUUGCCUCUAGAGUGUUUAUAAGAAU
rnacentral:lncRNA from 1 species